GAGCUGCCAGCCUCAUGACAUGCAAAUAAGCUGGUUCCACUCCAGCAGGUAACCAUAUUAUCCACCAGCCGUGGGUGAUACGGCUCUACCAGCAGUACCUCAAGCACAGUUCUGAUCAUUUUCUCCAGGAACCAAGUCUUUUUGUUUCUGUCAAAAAAAUUUUCACAAGGACCGUUGGCACAAAUGUACUUGCGAAGAGUUGUAGGCAUUCUCCCUCCAGAAUCCCUUACUGGAUUGUGAAAAAUGAGGUGGCUGGCAAGAUGGCCGAAUAGGAACAGUUCCUGUCUGCAGCUCCGAGCGAGAUCAACACAGAAGGCGGGUGAUUUCUGCAUUUCCAACUGAG
rnacentral:lncRNA from 1 species